rnacentral:lncRNA from 1 species
CCGGUCCUGGCCCUCCCGAGUUUACAACCUUAAGUCACACAAUGACACAGAUCCCAAAGGCGAGCAGUUAACAAAUACAUCCACUUGUCCACCAAUCACAAGGGAUCCAUUGAGUGAGCCACUGCAACAAACAGGAACCCCUUCAAAGAGCUUCCAGUCUGGUGGGACCAACUACAUAAUCCUUGGUAAGAAAAGGAGGUGGCCCUGACAAGUGCAACUCGAGAAAUGCAAUGCUGUAGAGUCCAAAGGUGUCUGACUUGAACGAAAUGAUCCCACUGGGGGACAAUGCAACAUAUACUCCAGGUAAGCAUAGUGGAAAACAUAUUGGACUUAGAUUCAAACACACCUGAACCUGUAACUUAUGAGCCAGGUGACCUUGGGGGUGAACUGGAACUUACACCUUGCUUCUCCUGUUCUCAGGAGACUUGGACUGGAACUAUACCACCAGCUGUCUCGGAUCUCCGGCUUGCAGACGGCACAUCAUGGGACUUCUCAGUCUCCAUCACUGCAUGAGCCAAUUCCUUAUAAUAAAUCUCUGUCUCUCUCAUUAUACAUAUCUUGGAGAACCCUCAGGAACCUUGACUAAUACACAAGAUAAAUUCAGUUUUAAUUGUAUGUGAGGCAUUGUGGUGGAGAUAUAUACUAGAUACCCACACGCAAGUGGGCAAAGGUCUGGGAUCAAAAUAUCUAUUUGGGAAUCUUCAGCAUAUGGGUGAUAGUUGAAAUCAUAAAAGUGGUUGAACUCUUCUGGGACUCUCAUAUAUUGUAAUAGGAUGAACGGCAGAAAGAACAGAUACAGAUACAUGUAGGUUGGUUAAUCUGAUGGUUGGAAUGUGGACUUCGUAUUCGAUGUACUUGGUGUGUGUGUCUUUGUUUAUAAUGAAGUCAAUUACUCAGUAAUGUGCAUAUAAUAAAUUCCGUAGUGUGUGUGGUUCAGUCACUCUACUAGUUUUUAAAACUGUUCCGCUAAAGCUCUCAGUUGAAAGAACCCAUGGUGGUGUUGUUAUACAUAAAUAUCUUUACUUGAUAGACCUCAUUGACUACAGUCAGGAUUCUGGUAGAUAAAUUGGGCAGAUGAGAUGACCUCCCAACCCUUCUCUGGUGCUUUCUGAAUAAGGCCUGUGUUUGUCUGGCUGUACCAUACAUUUUAUUUUCUCUUUCAUUCAUUUCUAAGCCUCAGCAACAACCCCCUUCUCCAACACCUUGAUAUAAAUUGCCUUCAAACUCUAAUAGAACUUGAGAAUGUUGAUAACCUCAAACUAUGGUAUCCUGAUGUUUCCAUAGUAACUAAUGCACACCAAGGGGGAAAAGAUGCGAGAAUAAAUGAGAAUAGCAUUUUAACAAAAUAAGUGAGGGGCAAAGAGGCUUUAGACAUGUUAUUACCUCUUGUUUAGGAAUAUGAAAAUAUUCAUCUCCUUAAUAAUGGGGUUAUAAAAGUUGCUACAAUGAGACUUGUCAGUAGCCAUUUAUAUUUCAUUUUUCUCUAUAAUCAUCAUCAUCAAAAGCAUUUAAAUGCUUCUCUGCCCAACAAUACUGUAGAGAGUGAGUUAAAUGGACAUAGUUGCCAUUUUCCUGUGAACCUGCAAUCACAAUAGGACAGGGUAGGCCAAUGUCUGUAUUCCAGUCUCCCCAGCAGAGUUUUGACCUAGUGGAUAUUAGGAGGAAUGGGGAUUCAAAGAAGACAAAUCAGUGUUGUGGCAUUUGUUUGCUUUGAUACAAGACUUUACUAGCAUCUCAGCACUUCCUUGGUUAAAGGGUGGGAGAAUAGGGUGCUGCUGUUUCUUCUUUCCUAUUUCAUAAAAAGGAGGCUUUCUGUAAGCCAGGAAGAGAGCACUCUCAAGUAAUCAAAUUGGCUGGCACCUUGAUCUGGGACUUCCAGUCUCCAGAACUCUGAGAAAAUACAUUUGCGUUGUUUAAGCCAGUGAGUCUGUGGUAUUUUGUUAUGGCAGCCUGAGCAGCCUAUACACCGGUCAGUGUACAUGCACAACCGAUUAAGCUAUUGUUAGAUAGGAAUAGAUUUAGUAAGGGUGAAGAGAAGACUUUUUAUUUUAUGUAUUUGUUUGAGACAGAGUCUCUCUGUCAUCCAGGAUGGAGUGCAGUGGUGUGAUCAUGGCUCACAUCAGCCUUGACCUUCCAGGCUCAAGUGAUCCUCCCACCUCAGUCUCCUGAGUAGCUGGGACCACAGGCAUGUGCCACCAUGCCUGGCAAAUUUUUGUAUUCUUUGUAGAGAUGGGGUUUCACCAUGUUGCCCAGGCUGGUCUUGAACUCCCUCUUGCCUUGACCUCCUAAAGUGUUGGGAUUAUAGGUGUGAGCCACCAUGCCCGGCCUAAUAUUUUUAUUUUAGAAUUAGAGAGAUUAGGCCAGGCACAGUGGCUCACGCCUGUAAUCCCAGUACUUUGAGAGGCCGAGGUGGGUGGAUCACUUGAGGUCAGGAGUUCGAGACCAGCCUGACCAACAUGGUGAAACCCUGUCUCUACUAAAAAUACAAAAAUUAGCCAGGUGUGGUGGUACGUGCCUGUAAUCCCAGCUACUCAGGAGGCUGAGGCAGAAGAAUUGCUUGAACCCGGGAGGUGGAGGUUGCAGUGAGCCGAGAUCACGCUAUUGCAUUCCAGCCUGGAUGACAGAGUGAGACUCUGUCUCAAAAAAAAAAAAAAAAAAUUAGAGAGAUUAAAUUUCCACAGAUAAGUGUAAUAACUGGUGGGGUAUCUAUCUAACCCAGAACAGAAACACAGAAAGUAGAGGGACAGAAAGUAUACUGAACAGCUCCAGGUAAGGUAGAUAGCAUGGCUGGGAUUCCGCUUAACCUGAUACUUUCCCCAUUUAGAAGAGAAAGGUUAAAAAGCACAUUCUUCUUCUUUGUCUUCUUUUUUUUUUCAUACUCAUAUCACCUUUUGAAAAUUAGUCUUCAGUUUAGCUUUUGUGCAAUGAAUUCAGAGGUUAGAAGCAAGAUGUUUUGGGAGGUAGGGUGAGGCUCAUCAGUGAGAAUGAAAGCCAAUUUCCUAGACUUGCCUGGGGAAGGUAUAUUAGAACGGGGGCCAUUUGUUCUCAAUGUUCAACUCCCACUUAUGAGUGAGAACAUGCAGUGUUUGGUUUUCUUUUCCUGUGUUAGUUUGCUGAAGAUGAUGGCUUCCAGCUUCAUUCAUAUCCCAGCCAAGGACAUGAUCUCAUUCCUUUUUAUGGCUGCGUAGUAUUCCAUGGUGUAUAUGUACCACAUUUUCUUUAUCCAGUCUAUAAUUGAUGGGCAUUUGGGUUGGUUCCACAAACCUGCACGUUCUGCACAUGUAUCCCAUUUUUUUUUAGAAGAAAUAAAGAAAAAAGAAAAGAAAAGAAAAAAAAGAAUGGGGACCAUUUAUCUUGGAUGGCCAGAGGUUUGGUAGACAUCCUCAAGUUUAGACAGGCCUUAGAGUUCAGAUGAAAAAGGAGUGUAUCUUCAUAUUAGAGGCUCAGUUUGGACAAGGGAAAUUUCAGUGUGUGUGUGUGUGUGUGUGUGUGUGUUUAAAAUUUGUGAAAUUUGAUCUUACAGUCACUGGGAGAAGGCAGAAAUUUUGAGGAAAAGGAGUCCUCAAUAAAGC